GCGAGGAGGGGGCCAGAGGGGGCGCUGUGGUGUCGGCGGUGGUGGCGGCGGAGAGCGCGGUGGCAGAGGGGGCGGAGGGUUUCGACAGCUGGUGGCGGCCGGCGGCGGGGGGCGGGGACGAAGGGGAGGCAGGUGGCGCUGGAGGAGUGGCGGGUCGUGGAGCAGACGGAGAGCUUAGCUGGCUUGAGCCGGAAGGAGGAGCGGCGGAGGUGACACGGAGUCACGUCUUCAGGUAGUCGGCGCCCAAACCAAGGUGGGGUCGGUCUGAGUUCUCGUACCAAAGAAGACGGUACUGUCAGUGACGGGGAGAGACGGUGUCGCAGUACGGAAAGGGCCGGUGACGAUCCCUGAGGAGCCGUGCGAGGGCUCACCCUUCCGGCCCGGAACGGCGACCGACGACGAGGCCAGGAUAGCGGCGGCGUCACUGGUUGCGCCGGGACCACCGGCUACGACGGGCGCAGCCAUGCUCCUCCACACUUGAGAAACUAGAGGUAGCCGUCUAUCAAGGAGAACAACUAAGUACCCCAACCGUCUUCAGGUAACAACUCUCCUCUUUUGGCAACCAUCCGUAUCUGUGCCUGUGUCUACUUCUAGUGAGCCUGUGGAAUUAGUGCGACGUCGUAGGUGGUCAAAUAUGUGACCCGUUGCCGUUAUCGCUCUUCAUGGAGUUAAAGUUAUAUCUUCUAAGAGGAUAACUCUAAGUAGCAUAACUAGCACCACCCCUCCACUGUAUAGUACCAGGACCUGUCGAGCAAGACAUGGGCUAAGAGUUAAACGCCAUAGUUUUCUUCCUAGAAUUGACCAUGGUUUCUAGUGAACUUUGACACUAGUAAGCACGGGAAGUCAGGCGUAAGAGAUAAUUCCGUAGUUGUUAUCUUCCGGAGUGACCGCAAACCCAACCCCUAGUCUUUCAACGUCGAUAACCUUAAUACACACGUUCUACCUAUCAUAUAGUACCAGAUCGCGAUUUACAGUGUUGACUGGAUUGGGGAAAACUUGUGUAACAAGGGACGCCGUAUUUCCCAGCACCGCAACCCUCGUAAUUCGUCUAUAACGUUUUCCGAAGGUUGCCAUCUCUUGUAUUGCUAAGUCUUGACUACCUAUAUCGAAUACUUAGUAACUGGUUUCUCAAACGGCUCAAAAAGGUUGAGAGAGACCUUGCGUCGGGACUAAACAUAGAAAUCGAUCUAUUGUAAUAGUUAGUUGACGUCUUACAAAAUAACCUAAUAGCCUUGAUCUGAGAUCGCUUCUUCAGUCUUUGUUUACGCUCGCCUAUCGUC
rnacentral:rRNA from 1 species